AUUCACUCACUCAAGUGCCUCUGUCGACUGAACACUCCUCAACCUCAGCUCUUCAAUAUGAAGGUGAUUGGCGCAAUGUUGUUCCUUCUGGUGGCCCUGUUUGCCAUCUUGGGAUCCUCUGAGGCCAUGCCGGAGCCUGAAGCUGAUCCUGGCUUCCUCGGUGGUGGAUACUAUAGGCCUUAUUACAGACCCAUCAUCAGCUAUGGCUAUGGAGGCUAUGGUGGUUACGGAGGCUACGGAUGGUAAAUGUUUCUCUUAAAAAGCUACAUUGUAAUUAGGUUUCACAAUAAAUUACAGAUAAAA